AACUGCUCGAAGAGGUCCGAGAAGAUA
rnacentral:sRNA from 1 species